rnacentral:rRNA from 1 species
UUAAAAAGCUCGUAGUUGGAUUUCGGAGUGGGCCAGUUGGUCCGCCGCGAGGUGUGUUACUGACUGGUUUGCUCUUCUUCGCAAAGACUGCGUGUGCUCUUCAGUGAGUGUGCGUAGGAUUUACGACGUUUACUUUGAAAAAAUUAGAGUGUUCCAAAGCCAGGCCUAUUGCUUGAAUACAUGAGCAUGGAAUAAUGGAAUAGGACUUUGGUCCCAUUUUGUUGGUUUCUAGGGCCGAAGUAAUGAUUAAGAGGGACAAUUGGGGGCAUCCGUAUUUCGUUGUCAGAGGUGAAAUUCUUGGAUUUACGAAAGACGAACAACUGCGAAAGCACUUGCCAAGAGUGUUCUCAUUAAUCAAGAACGAAAGUUAGAGGAUCGAAGACGAUCAGAUACCGUCCUAGUUCUAACCAUAAACGAUGUCGACUAGGGAUCAGCGGGCGUUAUCGUACGACCCCGUUGGCACCUUACGGGAAACCAAAGUUUCUGGAUUCCGGGGGAAGUAUGGUUGCAAAGCUGAAACUUAAAGGAAUUGACGGAA